AUACCUUUCUCGGCCUUUUGGCUAAGGUCAAGUGUAGUAUCUGUUCUUAUCAGUUUAAUAUCUGAUAUGUGGGCUAUGUGCUCACUUUGAUAUUAAAUUUAGCUUUUGUGGGGAAGAGUCCACUACAGUGCUUGCCACUGGGCCUCGAGCGUUGCCAAGCCGUUGCACUGCUGGCCGGGCCUGGCGCAGCCCAA